GUCGAGAAUAAUUCACAAUGGGGGAAACCCUGAUGGUGCAACGCCGCGUGGAGGAUGAAGGUCUUCGGAUUGUAAACUCCUGUCAUCUGGGAGUAAGACCUGACGGUGAAUAGCCGGCAGGGUUGAUAGUACCAGAAGAGGAAGGGACGGCUAACUUCGUGCCAGCAGCCGCGGUAAUACGAAGGUCCCAAGCGUUGUUCGGAAUCACUGGGCGUAAAGGGAGCGUAGGCGGCGUGGUAAGUCAGAUGUGAAAUCCCGGGGCUCAACCCCGGAACUGCAUCCGAUACUGCCAUGCUUGAGGGUUGGAGAGGUAGCUGGAAUUCUCGGUGUAGCAGUGAAAUGCGUGGAUAUCGAGAGGAACACUCGUGGCGAAGGCGAGCUACUGGACAACAUCUGACGCUGAGGCUCGAAGGCCAGGGGAGCAAAAGGGAUUAGAUACCCUAGUAGUCC
rnacentral:rRNA from 1 species